rnacentral:rRNA from 1 species
AAUUUUGGACAAUGGGGGAAACCCUGAUCCAGCCAUCCCGCGAGUAUGAAGAAGGCAUUCGUGUUGUAAAGUACUUUUGGCAGAGAGGAAAAAUCAUCCCCUAAUACGGGUGGCUGCUGACGGUAUCUGAAGAAUAAGCACCGGCUAGCUACGUCCCAGCAGCCGCGGCAAUACGUAGUGUGCAAGCGUUAAUCGGAAUUACUGGGCGUAAAGCGUUUGUCGGCGGUCCGGACAGAAAGAUGUGACAUCCCAGGGCUCAACCUUGGAACUGCAUUUUUAACUGCCGAGCUAGAGUAUGUCAGAGGGGGGUAGAAUUCCACGUGUAGCAGUGAAAUGCGUAGAUAUGUGGAGGAAUACCGAUGGCGAAGGCAGCCCCCUGGGAUAAUACUGACGCUCAGACACGAAAGCGUGGGGAGCAAACAGG